rnacentral:lncRNA from 1 species
GGAUGACGUUGCGGCGGAGUCGCGUCACCAGGUUGGUCGUCUUGUCCGCCCUGAAAGCAGCCUCGUGGGCCUCCUGCACGGCGCGGAACUUCUCGAGGUCGCCGAGCCUGACCGCGCCGGUGAGCUCGAGGUACGGGAGGAGCGCCCUCUGCGCCGCCGCGCCGCCGGAAACCGCGGUGGUCAGGUCCUUCUUCUCCGGGAUCUCGCCGAGCAAGAGCCUGACGACGGUGAUCCACUUGGUGAGCUCCAGGGCGAACCCCUUGGCGAGCUUGGGCGC